rnacentral:rRNA from 1 species
GACGAACGCUGGCGGCGUGCUUAACACAUGCAAGUCGAACGGUGAAGCUCCAGCUUGCUGGAGUGGAUCAGUGGCGAACGGGUGAGUAACACGUGAGCAACCUGCCCCUGACUCUGGAAUAAGCGCUGGAAACGGCGUCUAAUACUGGAUACGAGAAGGGUCCGCAUGGGCACUUUCUGGAAAGUUUUUCGGUUGGGGAUGGGCUCGCGGCCUAUCAGCUUGUUGGUGAGGUAAUGGCUCACCAAGGCGACGACGGGUAGCCGGCCUGAGAGGGCGACCGGCCACACUGGGACUGAGACACGGCCCAGACUCCUACGGGAGGUAGCAGUGGGGAAUAUUGCACAAUGGGCGAAAGCCUGAUGCAGCGACGCCGCGUGAGGGAUGACGGCCUUCGGGUUGUAAACCUCUUUCAGCAGGGAAGAAGCGAAAGUGACGGUACCUGCAGAAGAAGCACCGGCUAACUACGUG